ensembl:lncRNA
GUGGGGGGGUCCCAGCACAGCCCGGCGGGGCGGUGGGCGGCCCGCAGACCCCGCAGGGCUGGAGGAGAGAGCUAACCUUGACACAGUUGCAGCAGUCGCUAAUAGCAGGCAAUACGCCUGUUCUUGGGGGACUGUUGCAGUUGCUAAGAUACUGGCAGCCGUGUGAAUGGAAAUGGGUCAGUAAACCUGUGGAGAGAUAGUGUGACACUGUAACCAGCACAGCUGUUGCAGCCUACAUCGAAAUCCCACCCUUUCAAUAUUUAUCACUCCCGCCUUCGGCUCCUUCCUCCCAGCGAUUUUCCACCUUCCUCCCCGCGCGGCGCUGCGCCCGGAGGCUGCGAUGGGGAGAGGGGAUGGAAAUGGGGGGGGGGGGCGGCCGGGAUGGGGUCGGAGCGGAGCCUCUCGGAUGGGUCCCCCCCUCUGAGCGCAGGAUGGAACCCGUGCCGAGAGAGACGGAGCAGGAAGCAGCCCCUAAUCCCACCCCCCCAUAGGAAAAGGGGUGAGAAGGUCAAUUCGCUCCUGUCCCUCCUUCAGGCACCGUGGGGAAAUUCCAGGCCAGGAGAGACACAUCCGUCCGUCCGUCCAUCCGUCCGUCCCGCUGCACGGCCACGCGGCUCAGCUGCAGCCUUGCACACACGUGUGCACACACGAGGGCCAUGCACACCCCCCCCUCCCCCCCCCCCCCCCCCUUGGCACACAGCGCAGAGCAGCACCGCACAUCCCCAAACGCUGCAGCACCGCCCGUGCGCUCCGGCGGCCCCCAAACCUUCAGCAUCCCCCAAAACCUUCAGCAUCCCCCCCAAAACAUUGCAGCAUCCCCAAAUCCUGCAGCAUCCCAAAUGCUUCAGUGUCCCCUCAGUGUCCCCUCAGUGUCCCCUCAGUGUCCCAGCACCACCCACACAGCGGCACCCCCAAACAGUGCGACGCUGCCCCAAAUCGUGCAGCACCCCAAAUGCUCCGGUAGCUCCCUGAAUGUUCCAGCAUCCCAAAUCCACCAGGAUGCCAAAUGAUCCAGGAUCCCAAAUCCUUGGGAUCCCUAAAUCCUCCAGCAUCCCAAAUGCUCCAGGAUCCCAAAUCCUUGGGAUCCCCAAACGCUGCAGCAUCCCAAACCCUCCAGGAUCCCAAAUCUCAGGGCCCCCAAACAUUCCGGAAUCCCCAAACGCUCCUGCAUCCCAAAUCCUCCUGGGUUUCAAACCCUCAGGAUCUCCAAACCCUCCAGCAUCCCAAAUCCUUGGGAUUCCCAAACCCUCCAGCAUCCCAAAUGCUCCAGGUCCAUUGGGAUGCUAAAGCAUCCCCAACUCCUCCGGAUCCCCAAAUCCUCCAGCAUCCCAAAUGCUUCAGCAUCCCAAAUCCUCGGGAUCCCAAAUGCUCCCGGAUCCCACACUCUCGUGUGCUCCAGCAUCCCCCCCCCCCCCGUCCACGCGGUCCCAACGCCGCAGCCCGGCCCCGCACACACGUGGGAAUCCCAUCGCGCUCAGCCCUCCGCGCUGCGCGGGGUCGGGGAGGG